rnacentral:rRNA from 1 species
UACAGAGGGUGCGAGCGUUGUCCGGAAUCACUGGGCGUAAAGGGCGCGUAGGCGGCUCGGUCAGCGUGCGGUGAAAGCCCGGGGCUCAACCCCGGGUCGGCCGUGCGAACUGCUGGGCUGGAGCACUGUAGAGGCAGGUGGAAUUCCGGGUGUAGCGGUGGAAUGCGUAGAGAUCCGGAAGAACACCGGUGGCGAAGGCGGCCUGCUGGGCAGUAGCUGACGCUGAUGCGCGACAGCGUGGG